GCUAGCUUAGUUAGCGGUGGUGCUAGUGUAACGGAUGUGAAACGGGCUAGCUUAGUUAGCGGUGGUGCUAGUGUAACGGAUGUGAAACGGGCUAGCUUAGUUAGCGGUGGUGCUAGUGUAACGGAUGUGAAACGGGCUAGCUUAGUUAGCGGUGGUGCUAGUGUAACGGAUGUGAAACGGCUAGCUUAGUUAGCGGUGGUGCUAGUGUAACGGAUGUGAAACGGCUAGCUUAAGUUAGCGGUGGUGCACGCUAAAUAGCGUUUCAAUCGGUGACGUCACUUGCUCUGAGACCUUGAAGUAGUAGUUCCCCUUUGCUCUGCAAGGGCCACGGCUUUUGUGGAGCGAUGGGUAACGAUGCUUUGUGGGUGACUGUUGUUGAUGUGUGCAGAGGGUCCCUGGUUCGCGCCCGGGUAUGGGCGAGGGGACGGUCUAAAGUUAUACUGUUACACAAGUAAUCAACGCUGUUGGAGAUUCUGACAAAUAUUUAUAUUGCGAAGAUCUCCAGAGACCUGGGACGAUUUAUGCCUGCUAUCUUUAGACUAUUCUCUGUAUUAAACGUGAUAUUGAAGCUUGUUUUGUUGACAAUGCAACCAAAUAUCAACAUUUUAAGGAGAUGUAUCUACUGCUGGGGUAGUUUCAACUGAGCAGCUGGCUUAAUCCCAUUCUUAACUUUUAUUAUUGGUUGAGUUAAAAAACUAUAUUAUUUGACCUUUAUUUAACUGGGCAAGUCAUUUAUCAGACCUUCCCCUUAUAUUACACCUUCCCCUAUAUCUCACCUUCCCCUAUGUCAGACCUUCCCCUUAUAUUACACCUUCCCCUAUAUCACACCUUCCCCUUAUAUUACACCUUCCCCUAUAUCACACCUUCCCCUAUAUCAGACCUUCCCAUAUAUCCCACCUUCCCUACAUCACACCUUCCCCUAUAUCACAACUUCCCCUAUAGCACACCUUCCCAUAUAUCCCACCUUCCCUACAUCACACCUUCCCCUAUAUCACACCUUCCCCUAUAUCAGACCUUCCCAUAUAUCACCCCUUCCACUAUAUCAGACCUUCCCAUAUAUCACACCUUCCCCUUAUAUCGCACCUUCCUGGAUUCUACUCAGAGUCCCAUGAGGUUCAGUCCAGAUCACAAUUAGCUCACAAAUGGAGGAGUCAGUGUAUUUUCUCUGUAUCUUCACAUGUCUUUGAUGAUUCUGUUUGCAGAUUAAAUCCCCUGCCUAUAUGCCUAUGUUUGUGUAAUUUGGGUUUGCCAUUUGCUCAAUGAUAACCUCACAAUGCAAACGGGUUAACUGACGCUGACAGUCAAACUCAGGUGACUGUUGUACUGCGGUGGUUGUGGCCCGUACAUUGUUUCUCUGGACUCAAGGUCAGCUUCAAGCCCGUCUGGGUCUGAGCGCAGAUGGAAUCCAGUGGUUUUAUAAGCACAAAUGCAGAUCAAACUGGAAAUGAGGAAUGUUUAGACAAAGUAAAGGUAUACACAUAUUUACUGGUUUAAAAAUUUGUAUUUUUUGUUGUUUUAUUUACAAAAAGCCAAAGCAAGUGAUUAUUUAAGGUUUCAGGGUUAACUGUAUGUCAAAACCCCAAAUGAUCCUUCAUUCAUAAUUAUACAUAAACACAUACCGGUACGUAUGGUUUGUCUCAACUCAACAUCUGAGACACAAGAUGAAGGAUUAAAUUGUCAUCACAUCCCAAAAAGCAUCAUCAGUCUAUCAUCACACGUGAAAAACUUCACCAGAGUCGAGUAGUAGUAGUCAUACUGAAAAUACAUAAUGAUCUUCUCCUUCUUUCUUUCUUUCCUUCUUUCCUUCUUUCCUUCUUUCCUUCCUUCCUUCCUUCCUUCCUUCCUUCCUUCCUUCCUUCCUUCCUUCCUCCCUUCCUUCCAUUCUUUCUUUCUUUUUUUCUUUCCUUCCUUCCUUCCUUCCUUCCUUCCUUCCUUCCUUCCUUCCUUCCUUCGUGACAGCUGAGAGCCAGGCGUCAAAGGCCUACUUGCUGUUUCCGGGGGGCCUGGGGUCGUAGUGCGAAGAGUUUCUGAGGCAGUAUACUUGCUGAUUGCUUCGUUCUCUCCCUCACAACAACCAGCUAAGACACUGCCAGAGAAACACUCCCAGUAGCCUCUUUCUCCAGCAUCUUCAUCUUCAGGUUCCUGGUAACCAGUAUAUCUUUGGUAUCUCGCUGCCAUGUUUCCCACAGGGAGUCUAAAUUAACGCACACGCACACACACACACACACACACACACACACACACACACACACACACACACACACACACACACACACACACUUCUUUAAUACAAAGUGGUCAAACGUCAAACCUUACAGUAGAUACCUAUGUCGCCACAGCGAUGUAUGACCUCAGAGGAGAAUCCACUGUGUUCCCCCACAGUUCAGUUGAAAAGGCAGGGAAAGAUGGCGUUGUAGUCGUCCUCCUGCGAGGGUCAAAGGUCAAAACAAUAGGUUCCCCUCUGCCUUCUGAUGACAGGGAAUACUUCAAUGGGUCAACCUAUUGCCUCUGCAGUAGUUUCUGUCAGGCUAUAUUUAAUACAUUUUUAAUUCGUAUGAAUAUGUUUUUUUCUCCCUAGAUUUAAAGUCAAGAACUUAACGUAACACUGAUGCAUCAUGAAAAGGAGAUUAUUUAGAGACAUGAAACCAGACAGAAUCUAACCCGGAGUGGGUAAAACCUUUCUUUGACAGUGCUGGCAACACGUUUGAGCAGAAUCACACAACAUGAACUACAAACAC
rnacentral:lncRNA from 13 species